rnacentral:rRNA from 1 species
UUAAGCGACUAAGCGUACACGGUGGAUGCCUAGGCAGUCAGAGGCGAUGAAGGGCGUGCUAAUCUGCGAAAAGCGUCGGUAAGCUGAUAUGAAGCGUUAUAACCGACGAUACCCGAAUGGGGAAACCCAGUGCAAUACGUUGCACUAUCGUUAGAUGAAUACAUAGUCUAACGAGGCGAACCGGGGGAACUGAAACAUCUAAGUACCCCGAGGAAAAGAAAUCAACCGAGAUUCCCCCAGUAGCGGCGAGCGAACGGGGAGGAGCCCAGAGUCUGAAUCAGUUUGUGUGUUAGUGGAAGCGUCUGGAAAGUCGCACGGUACAGGGUGAUAGUCCCGUACACCAAAAUGCACAGGCUGUGAACUCGAUGAGUAGGGCGGGACACGUGACAUCCUGUCUGAAUAUGGGGGGACCAUCCUCCAAGGCUAAAUACUCCUGACUGACCGAUAGUGAACCAGUACCGUGAGGGAAAGGCGAAAAGAACCCCGGCGAGGGGAGUGAAAUAGAACCUGAAACCGUGUACGUACAAGCAGUGGGAGCACCUUCGUGGUGUGACUGCGUACCUUUUGUAUAAUGGGUCAGCGACUUAUAUUUUGUAGCAAGGUUAACCGAAUAGGGGAGCCGUAGGGAAACCGAGUCUUAACUGGGCGUCUAGUUGCAAGGUAUAGACCCGAAACCCGGUGAUCUAGCCAUGGGCAGGUUGAAGGUUGGGUAACACUAACUGGAGGACCGAACCGACUAAUGUUGAAAAAUUAGCGGAUGACUUGUGGCUGGGGGUGAAAGGCCAAUCAAACCGGGAGAUAGCUGGUUCUCCCCGAAAGCUAUUUAGGUAGCGCCUCGUGAACUCAUCUUCGGGGGUAGAGCACUGUUUCGGCUAGGGGGCCAUCCCGGCUUACCAAACCGAUGCAAACUCCGAAUACCGAAGAAUGUUAUCACGGGAGACACACGGCGGGUGCUAACGUCCGUCGUGAAGAGGGAAACAACCCAGACCGCCAGCUAAGGUCCCAAAGUCAUGGUUAAGUGGGAAACGAUGUGGGAAGGCACAGACAGCCAGGAUGUUGGCUUAGAAGCAGCCAUCAUUUAAAGAAAGCGUAAUAGCUCACUGGUCGAGUCGGCCUGCGCGGAAGAUGUAACGGGGCUAAACCAUGCACCGAAGCUGCGGCAGCGACACUUAGGUGUUGUUGGGUAGGGGAGCGUUCUGUAAGCCGUUGAAGGUGACCUGUGAGGGUUGCUGGAGGUAUCAGAAGUGCGAAUGCUGACAUAAGUAACGAUAAUGCGGGUGAAAAACCCGCACGCCGGAAGACCAAGGGUUCCUGUCCAACGUUAAUCGGGGCAGGGUGAGUCGACCCCUAAGGCGAGGCUGAAAAGCGUAGUCGAUGGGAAACAGGUUAAUAUUCCUGUACUUGGUGUUACUGCGAAGGGGGGGACGGAGAAGGCUAGGCUGGCCGGGCGACGGUUGUCCCGGUUUAAGCGUGUAGGGGGAGUGACCAGGUAAAUCCGGUUGCUUAUCAACCCUGAGGCGUGAUGACGAUGCACUACGGUGCAGAAGCAGUUGAUGCCAUGCUUCCAGGAAAAGCCUCUAAGCAUCAGGUAACAUUAAAUCGUACCCCAAACCGACACAGGUGGUCAGGUAGAGAAUACUCAGGCGCUUGAGAGAACUCGGGUGAAGGAACUAGGCAAAAUGGUGCCGUAACUUCGGGAGAAGGCACGCUGGCGUUAGGUGAAAGGACUAGCUCCUGGAGCUGAAGCCAGUCGCAGAUACCAGCUGGCUGCAACUGUUUAAUAAAAACACAGCACUGUGCAAACACGAAAGUGGACGUAUACGGUGUGACGCCUGCCCGGUGCUGGAAGGUUAAUUGAUGGGGUCAGCCGCAAGGCGAAGCUCUUGAUCGAAGCCCCAGUAAACGGCGGCCGUAACUAUAACGGUCCUAAGGUAGCGAAAUUCCUUGUCGGGUAAGUUCCGACCUGCACGAAUGGCGUAAUGAUGGCCAGGCUGUCUCCACCCGAGACUCAGUGAAAUUGAACUCGCUGUGAAGAUGCAGUGUACCCGCGGCAAGACGGAAAGACCCCGUGAACCUUUACUAUAGCUUGACACUGAACAUUGAGCCUUGAUGUGUAGGAUAGGUGGGAGGCCUUGAAGUGUGGACGCCAGUCUGCAUGGAGCCAACCUUGAAAUACCACCCUUUAAUGUUUGAUGUUCUAACUCGGCCCCAUGAUCUGGGGUGAGGACAGUGUCUGGUGGGUAGUUUGACUGGGGCGGUCUCCUCCCAAAGAGUAACGGAGGAGCACGAAGGUUAGCUAAUCACGGUCGGACAUCGUGAGGUUAGUGCAAAGGCAUAAGCUAGCUUGACUGCGAGAGUGACGGCUCGAGCAGGUACGAAAGUAGGUCUUAGUGAUCCGGUGGUUCUGAAUGGAAGGGCCAUCGCUCAACGGAUAAAAGGUACUCCGGGGAUAACAGGCUGAUACCGCCCAAGAGUUCAUAUCGACGGCGGUGUUUGGCACCUCGAUGUCGGCUCAUCACAUCCUGGGGCUGAAGUAGGUCCCAAGGGUAUGGCUGUUCGCCAUUUAAAGUGGUACGCGAGCUGGGUUUAGAACGUCGUGAGACAGUUCGGUCCCUAUCUGCCGUGGGCGUUGGAAGAUUGAGAGGGGCUGCUCCUAGUACGAGAGGACCGGAGUGGACGAAUCACUGGUGUUCGGGUUGUCAUGCCAAUGGCAUUGCCCGGUAGCUAAAUUCGGAAGAGAUAACCGCUGAAAGCAUCUAAGCGGGAAACUUGCCUCGAGAUGAGUCUUCCCUGGGRCUUWAAGYCCCCUGAAGGAACGUUAAAGACUAUGACGUUGAUAGGCUGGGUGUGUAAGUGCAGCGAUGUAUUGAGCUAACCAGUACUAAUGAUCCGUGAGGCUUAACCUU